UUGUGUGAAUACAUAGCACAUUCGAGGUAGACGCAGAGAACUGAAACAUCUAAGUACCUGCAGGAAGAGAAAGAAAAUUCGAUUCCCUGAGUAGCGGCGAGCGAAACGGGAAAAGCCCAAACCAGCAAGCUUGCUUGUUGGGGUUGUAGGACUCCAAUAUGGUAGUUCUUUCAGAUAGUCGAAUGACUUGGAAAAGUCAGUCAAAGAGGGUAAAAACCCCGUAGACGAAAUGUGGAAGACACCUAGGAGGAUCCUGAGUACGGCGGAACACGAGAAAUUCCGUCGGAAUCCGGGAGGACCAUCUCCCAAGGCUAAAUACUCCCUAGUGACCGAUAGUGAACCAGUACCGUGAGGGAAAGGUGAAAAGCACCCCGGAAGGGGAGUGAAAUAGAACCUGAAACCGUGUGCCUACAACAAGUCAAAGCCCGUUAAUGGGUGAUGGCGUGCCUUUUGUAGAAUGAACCGGCGAGUUACGAUUGCAUGCGAGGUUAAGUUGAAGAGACGGAGCCGCAGCGAAAGCGAGUCUGAAUAGGGCGUUUGAGUAUGUAGUCGUAGACCCGAAACCAUGUGAUCUACCCAUGUCCAGGUUGAAGGUGCGGUAAAACGCACUGGAGGACCGAACCCACGUACGUUGAAAAGUGCGGGGAUGAGGUGUGGGUAGCGGAGAAAUUCCAAACGAACUUGGAGAUAGCUGGUUCUCUCCGAAAUAGCUUUAGGGCUAGCCUCGGAAUUGAGAAUGAUGGAGGUAGAGCACUGUUUGGACUAGGGGCCCAUCUCGGGUUACCGAAUUCAGAUAAACUCCGAAUGCCAUUCAUUCAUAUCCGGGAGUCAGACUGUGAGUGAUAAGAUCCAUAGUCGAAAGGGAAACAGCCCAGACCACCAGCUAAGGUCCCAAAAUAUAUGUUAAGUGGAAAAGGAUGUGGGGUUGCACAGACAACUAGGAUGUUGGCUUAGAAGCAGCCACCAUUUAAAGAGU
rnacentral:rRNA from 1 species